CCUUCCGUAGGUGAACCUGCGGAAGGAUCAUUACCACACCAAAAAACUAUCCACGUGAACGUAUACUUUUAUUAGGCUUGUGUUGCCUCCUUGGGGGCGACUAGCCGAAGGUUUCGAAAGGAACCGAUGUACAUGAAAUCCCUUUUAACAAUGUCUGAAUCAAUACGGCGUGCAGAAAUGUAUGCUUUCAAUUGAAAUACAACUUUCAACAGUGGAUGUCUUGGCUCGCACAUCGAUGAAGAACGCUGCGAACUGCGAUACGUAAUGCGAAUUGCAGAAUUCAGUGAGUCAUCAAAAUUUUGAACGCAUAUUGCACUUCCGGGUUAGUCCUGGGAGUAUGCUUGUAUCAGUGUCCGUUAAUACUAAAUUGUUUCAUUGAUUUGAAGCAGAAUGUGAAGGUCUUGCUUCGGCAAGUCCUUUUAAAUGAGUAUUACCUGUACGUCCUCAUGGCUUGUACUAUAUAAAGGUGUGUGCGACUUCGACUUCAAAAUGGUUUGACUUUCGUGUCAAUUGUUUGGAAGGAGGAAUGAAUUGCGGUAGUUUUGUCUGUUCUUCGGAACGGAUGAAUCACAUUAUUGCUUUUUGUUUUUCUGUACUUACAAAAGACGCAUUGUUGGCCUGGAGUUGAAUAGCACAUACUGGUACUUUCCUUGGCGUAUGGAGGCAAAUUGGGAAACAAAUCCAAUUUGGACCUGAUAUCAAGCAAGACUACCCGCUGAACUUAAGCAUAUCAAAUAAGCGGAGG
rnacentral:rRNA from 1 species